rnacentral:rRNA from 1 species
UACGUAGGGUGCAAGCGUUGUCCGGAAUUAUUGGGCGUAAAGGGCUCGUAGGCGGUCUGUCACGUCGGGUGUGAAAACUCAGGGCUUAACCCUGAGCCUGCUUCCGAUACGGGCAGACUAGAGUGCGGUAGGGGAGACUGGAAUUCCUGGUGUAGCGGUGAAAUGCGCAGAUAUCAGGAGGAACACCGGUGGCGAAGGCGGGUCUCUGGGCCGUAACUGACGCUGAGGAGCGAAAGCAUGGGGAGCGAACAGG